rnacentral:rRNA from 1 species
UAGCGUAGGGUGCAAGCGUUAAUCGGAAGUACUGGGCGUAAAGCGUGCUCAGGCGGUUCGCUAAAGACAGAUGUGAAAUCCCCGGGCUUAACCUGGGAACUGCAUUUGUGACUGGCGGGCUAGAGUAUGGCAGAGGGGGGUAGAAUUCCACGUGUAGCAGUGAAAAUGCGUGAGAGAUGUGGAGGAAUACCGAUGGCGAAGGCAGCCCCCUGGGCCAUACUGACGCUCAUGCACGAAAGGCGUGGG